GCCCGCUUGGCUCAGUGGUAGAGCGUGUCACUAGUACCAUCUCUUAGGUAUUCUUAUUCCAUGACAAGGUCAUCAGUUCGAUUCUGAUAGUGGGCA